CGGGGCGUAGCGCAGCUUGGUAGCGUACUUGCAUGGGGUGCAAGGGGUCGGAGGUUCGAAUCCUCUCGCCCCGACCA
rnacentral:tRNA from 2 species